rnacentral:rRNA from 1 species
AAUAUUGGACAAUGGGCGAAAGCCUGAUCCAGCCAUUCCGCGUGUGCGAUGAAGGCCUUCGGGUUGUAAAGCACUUUUGGCAGGAAAGAAAUCGCACGGGCCAAUACCCUGUGUGGAUGACGGUACCUGCAGAAUAAGCACCGGCUAACUACGUGCCAGCAGCCGCGGUAAUACGUAGGGUGCAAGCGUUAAUCGGAAUUACUGGGCGUAAAGCGUGCGCAGGCGGUUCGGAAAGAAAGAUGUGAAAUCCCAGGGCUCAACCUUGGAACUGCAUUUUUAACUACCGGGCUAGAGUGUGUCAGAGGGGGGUGGAAUUCCGCGUGUAGCAGUGAAAUGCGUAGAGAUGCGGAGGAACACCGAUGGCGAAGGCAGCCCCCUGGGAUAACACUGACGCUCAGGCACGAAAGCGUGGGUAGCAAACAG